UUGCUAGGUAUCUGCCCCCUUUGGAGCCGGCUUGCUCUGCCUGUAGCUGUGAGGAGGAGGAGAUUCUGGGGACCCAGUCCUGGCUGCCACUGGUGGGGUGGGAGUCUGAAAGCUCAGGUGGGUCCCAUCUCCCUACUCCCAACACUACCUCCCUCCCACCUUGCUCCCAGGCAGUUCUGGAGGAGGCUCCCCUUUGCAGGCGAGACAGCGCCUUUCCUGGCUCCUCCUUUGCUCCGUGCAGCUGGUCCCCUAUCCCCUGACCUCCACCCCAGAGCACUUCUGGAGAGAGCCAGACCUCAGGCGGCUGCUCCAGGAAGCUGGAAAGGGAGGAUGGAAGGGCCUGGAAGAUAAAUUCCUGCCGCUCACAGAGCUACCAGGGGAGGCCCUCGAGGAAGGGACGCAGACGCCCAAGACACAUGCAGUCUGUGAAGAGUGAUGGGCAAAGCAUCCCAGGGGCCAGUGUCAUUGCUACUGUUCUCAUCUCACAUUCCUGUCUUGGGUCUUUGAACAGCCAACAACCACAGCUGUUGUCCACUGCGGUGGCUAGGAGGACAACACACAUUUCCUCACUUACCCCUCAGUACAACCCCAUGAGGCGGGCAGUAUUUGUCUUCUCACUUUACAGAGAGAAAACUGAGGCUUCCUAAGGCUGAAUAACCACAGACCUGGCCAAGAGGAGAGCCAGGGUCAACCCCCAGGGGCUCUGGCCAGAGACUGGGCUUUGCGUCACCACCAUGGAGGUUGAUGGUCACUCUCUCUGAGCAUCUCUGUGGAUUGACCUGGGCCUCUAAGCGGAAAGAGAGCCCCAGACCAAUAGGUCUGAAGGUUCCUGGGCCCCAGGGGAGCUGCUUGUGCACCCAUGGGGCCAUCAAAGGAAAACAGGAAGCAAGAUUUCCUCCUACACAGGUUUCUGGUGGCACCGCUUCCAGGGGCUCCUAGGAGAUCCUAUUCUGAAAAGCGGCAGGACUGGCUCCCCAGCCUGUCAGCUAGGACUAACACAUUCUCCAAACUUCUGGACCUGUCGCUCAACAGAAGUUGCCUGGGAACUCUGAGAGGUGUUGUGGGGCCAAAGGAGGGAAAAGCACCAACCCUCAGAUGGCUUGCAGGGAAGCUGGGAGAUGCUCAAAGUACCAUCCUGUUGGGAGAAGAACAUACCCAGCAUGUGAGUAAGUGCUGAGCUAUAUGGCACCACGCUCCCCUGUGGUUCUUUGCAGGGUAGGUGUUAAAUGCAUGGGGAGGUCACCCACAAGGUCGAAAAAAGGGAGGGGAGGGAGUUCCCAUCGUGGCGCAGAGGAAACAAAUCCAACUAGGAACCAUGGGGUUGCGAGUUUGAUCCCUGGCCUCUCUCAGUGGGCUCUAAGACUGACUUGUGUUCACAAGGAAUGUUUGAGAAACACAGCUUGAAAGGCCAAGGAUGCCCUGGCAGACUAGCCAGUCAGAUCUUCCUACUGUUUUACACACCAAAUAAACCAGAAAAGGCAAAUUAACA
rnacentral:lncRNA from 1 species